AUGCGCGAGCCGACCUCGCAGUUCCCGCGGCUCUCUACAGCAGAGAAGAGAAGAGAAAACGCGGCAGGGCGCUCUGUUGGCUUCUCCAGGAGUGACUGUGCUGCUUUCCAAGAUGAAACCUCCCUUCCUUUGCAGUUCGCUGAGAGCUUCAGUGACCCUCGCUCAUCCUUUGGAGCCCUCUGCCAGGACGAGCCAGUUGUGUGUGGCUUCUGGUGCCUGACCAUUCCUAUCCUGGCUGGAGUCUCCAGAGGCGCUCAGGCGUCAGGAUGGAUGAUGAACUUUCCAAAAGGAAAAAGAAUUUCAUUGUCCAGAACAACAUUGGCAGAAGGAUUAAAUAGAAAGAUUAAAUGUAUUUCCUAGAAGCUGUAUGUUAAUAAACGCUAAACCUUGAGUGACA
rnacentral:lncRNA from 1 species